UACGAAGGGUGCAAGCGUUAAUCGGAAUUACUGGGCGUAAAGGGUGCGUAGGCGGUUGUUUAAGUCUGUCGUGAAAUCCCCGGGCUCAACCUGGGAAUGGCGAUGGAUACUGGACAGCUAGAGUGUGUCAGAAGAUGGUGGAAUUCCCGGUGUAGCGGUGAAAUGCGUAGAGAUCGGGAGGAACAUCAGUGGCGAAGGCGGCCAUCUGGGACAACACUGACGCUGAAGCACGAAAGCGUGGGGAGCAAACAGG
rnacentral:rRNA from 1 species